UACGUAGGCAGCGAGCGUUGUUCGGAGUUACUGGGCGUAAAGGGUGUGUAGGCGGUUGUUUUAAGUUUGGUGUGAAAUCUCCCGGCUCAACUGGGAGGGUGCGCCGAAUACUGAGUGACUAGAGUGCGGGAGAGGAAAGUGGAAUUCCUGGUGUAGCGGUGAAAUGCGUAGAUAAUCAGGAGGAACACCGGUGGUGUAGACGGCUUUCUGGACCGUAACUGACGCUGAGACACGAAAGCGUGGGUAGCA
rnacentral:rRNA from 1 species